CUACCUGUAUCAAUAUGGAUUUUUAGCAGUCAGGUUGCGAUCCUGGCUGUCGCGGGUUCGAGUCCCGUCAGCCACCCCA
rnacentral:tRNA from 2 species